UGGGGAAUCUUGCGCAAUGGGCGAAAGCCUGACGCAGCGACGCCGCGUGAGUGAUGAAGGCCCUCGGGUUGUAAAGCUCUGUGGGGAGAGACGAAUAAGGGCCGGCUAAUACCCGGCUCGAUGACGGUAUCUCCUUAGCAAGCACCGGCUAACUCUGUGCCAGCAGCCGCGGUAAGACAGAGGGUGCAAACGUUGUUCGGAAUUACUGGGCGUAAAGCGCGUGUAGGCGGCAGGGUGUGUCGGAUGUGAAAUCCCGUGGCUCAACCACGGAAGUGCACCCGAAACUACCCAGCUGGAGUCUCGGAGAGGAAGGUGGAAUGCUUGGUGUAGAGGUGAAAUUCGUAGAUAUCAAGCGGAACACCGGUGGCGAAGGCGGCCUUCUGGACGAUGACUGACGCUGAGACGCGAAAGCGUGGGGAGCAAACAGGAUUAGAUACCCUGGUAGUCCACGCUGUAAACGAUGAGUGCUAGGUGUCACGGGCUUUC
rnacentral:rRNA from 1 species